UGAGUGUGCUGCCGAGCGGCACCACGUCAAUAUCAUUAUUUUUCAGAUCAACAUGGCCGGUUGCCCGCACCAUUUCUUCGUGGUUAAGCGGAAUUUCCAGUUUCAGAUCACCAUUAACCUCACCGUUGAUUUUCAGCUGCUCCAGGGUAUUACCGAUAGAAUUCUUCAUCGGCGUCUGAUCAAAAUACUUACCCAGUGAUUCACCUUUACCUUCAAUAGCGGACUGAAUAUACAGGCGCUCAACCGUAAAAUCCGGGAUAUCCGCUUUCAGAUUGCGGGCUGUGGCCUCUCCCAGCCCGGCUUCUUCUGCCGUCAUCCAUAACCCGUAAUUAUGGAAAUUCAGAUUCACAUUCAAUCCCAUCAGGGCAGGCCAUUCCGGAUCAUAUUUAAAGGUGGCAUCACGCAGCGGCAC
rnacentral:ncRNA from 1 species